CCUCCACUGUUGCGGGUGAGAGGCUACUAAUCCCAUGCCGUCCAUGGUUUACUCUGAGCCCGUAUUUAAUGCCUCUAAACCCCCAGCUGCCGCCCCGGUUACUCACUGAACACGACAGACUGUGAACCGCUACGGUUAUUAAUAAUUCACCAGCCCUCGCGCUUCCCCGGCCGCGAUCCACUGCUGCGUCUCGCGACGCGCUAUUGGACAGUUACAGCACUUUCCUCUUUUUUAGCUUUGAAUUUGUUUAGACUAUUCUUGACAACCAGUGCAACUCCACAAACGUCCCUCUUCUCGUUAUUAGUUGUAGACUUAUACGUGUGCGCGGGCUCGCGAGUCACCAGGCUGGCAUUUCAUGAUGGUAAAGUCUCGAAAACUCUGAUGUAGCAAACCUCCAUAGUUGUGGCAGUUGCAGGCUCCAUUUUCGCCCCGAGUUUCUCCGGCCACUGGAGAACAGGUGGAGAGGGACCAAAGGGAAUACCGGCUUUUUAAUCACGAGAAGCAGAGGAUAUAGCGCUACAUAGUCCAUUUGAGGCACCAAGGAGCAACAGCUGAUUUGUGAGCGCGUAAGCAGAGACUACUUACUCUCGGUGCCCUUGCAUUGCGAGACUUCUGCUUUUUUACUCGGGUGCUGACAAGACUGUCACACCGCAAACGGCGCUGCUUCGCAGGACAUUGGGCAGCGGGGACAGCUAGGAAGGCACGCUGACAAGCGACCGCACCACGUUCACAGUAUUGACACCGAGGAGGAGUGUGUUGUUUUCAUGGAAUUAACAUGUGUUGACUGCAGACAUAAACUCCACGAAUGAAAAAAAAAUAAGAACCGUUCGCCUUGGAUAAUCCGUUUCCCGGUUGUGGAGAAGAUUUAGCCACAAUAUAUAAAAUGUUCCCCGGGCCACGGGUCGUACCAUAAGAGGGAUAUUUUGCUUCCGGUAUCAGAAGAAUCAGAAGAAACGGAGCGGUUCUCCCCCCCCCUCUCUCUCUCUCCUCUUUUGGAAGCUGAACUUUUUUGAAAGGAAAAUGGGUCUUUGAGACUGUUGGCACUUUUCCCUGCUCCACAAUGGCCACCGAAUCCUUCCUGGUGAACGAGGACCCCUCCAGAGGACCGGGGAUGCCUGAGUGCUUUGUAGUUUCAGAUUCCUAUAGGUAUUACCCUACUCACCUUCUAAACAAUGCAUUAGUGG